rnacentral:rRNA from 1 species
GGGUUGUGAGGUUAAGCGACUAAGCGUACACGGUGGAUGCCCUGGCAGUCAGAGGCGAUGAAGGACGUGCUAAUCUGCGAUAAGCGUCGGUAAGGUGAUAUGAACCGUUAUAACCGGCGAUUUCCGAAUGGGGAAACCCAGUGUGAUUCGUCACACUAUCAUUAACUGAAUCCAUAGGUUAAUGAGGCGAACCGGGGGAACUGAAACAUCUAAGUACCCCGAGGAAAAGAAAUCAACCGAGAUUCCCCCAGUAGCGGCGAGCGAACGGGGAGGAGCCCAGAGCCUGAAUCAGUGUGUGUGUUAGUGGAAGCGUCUGGAAAGGCGCGCGAUACAGGGUGACAGCCCCGUACACAAAAAUGCACAUGCUGUGAGCUCGAUGA